rnacentral:lncRNA from 1 species
CACAGCCACACAAACACUGCCGCCCCCCUCCGGAGCACAGGAAGGAAUGAAGAAGUUCCACCUGAGCCUCCCAACCACACUGGCUUCCUUGUGGUCCCAGCUGUCUAGAGUGCGAUAACAAGAAUAUAUUUCCUCUGAAUCCAGAAGUCAGCCUGGGUCCUUGAGGUGACCUUGUGGUCUACUUUCUAGAGUCUAACUGCAGUGAUCAACAGCCAGCCCGUUAACCACCAAAGAAAUGAGACCCACCAUUGUAAGAUGUGUGCAGAACUGUAAGAUGCGCAAUCAGAAUCCCAUCUUUUAUUGCCAACCUGGGCACAAAAACCUCACAGGACGGAGAGUCUGAGGACAUUCCCUCUAAACUUAAGGAAGACCUUGACCGACAUCCAAGCCGAGGAAGCCCUCACAUGGAUGGGAACCAACCAGCCAGCUCUUUCCCACAAGAGUGUCCCAGGUGACAUAGGGACAAUAUGGUGCAUGCCAUGUUGUCAACAGGCCAGGCCACACUGAGACAUUCCAGGGAUGGAACAUGAGGGAAGCAUUAACCUCUGAGCGACUUUUCA